rnacentral:rRNA from 1 species
UACGUAGGCAGCGAGCGUUGUUCGGAGUUACUGGGCGUAAAGAGUGCGUAGGCGGUUUUCUAAGUUUGGUGUGAAAUCUCCCAGCUUAACUGGGAGGGUGCGCCGAAGACUGGAAGGCUUGAGUAUGGGAGAGGUAAGCCGAAUUCCUGGUGUAGCGGUGAAAUGCGUAGAUAUCAGGAGGAACACCUGCGGUGUAGACGGCUUACUGGACCAUAACUGACGCUGAGGCACGAAAGCGUGGGUAGCAAACAGG